UACGUAGGGAGCAAGCGUUGUCCGGAAUCAUUGGGCGUAAAGCGCGCGUAGGUGGCCUCAUAAGUCCGCUGUGAAAGUCAAAGGCUCAACCUUUGAAAGCCGGUGGAUACUGAGGCUAGAGUACGGAAGAGGCGAGUGGAAUUCCUGGUGUAGCGGUGGAAUGCGCAGAUAUCAGGAGGAACACCAAUAGCGAAGGCAGCUCGCUGGGACGUUACUGACACUGAGGCGCGAAAGCGUGGGGAGCGAACAGG
rnacentral:rRNA from 1 species